rnacentral:lncRNA from 1 species
UCCAAUAAUUCUCAAGAGUCUAGGUCAGAACACAGAACUUCAGACCCUCUAAGUACAGUCACAGGAGUAACUCGUGCCUGAGCUGGAAGGAGAAUCCCAGGAAAGGUGGAAAGGGAGGAGAAUAAACGUUUGUGGCCCUACUGCGGGCAACGUGACCGACACUCUGCUCUUUGAGGAAGAAAGGCUUGCUACGGAGAGGUCACACAUCCGGGCCCUCCUGCAUUCAUCCAGAUCCAGACGCUUCAGUCUCAGCACGUGUCCAUCAUUU